rnacentral:lncRNA from 1 species
GCCCCAGGUCGGGGCGGGGUGCACGGCGGCGGCGCGCGGAUGGGGGGCUCACCGGCAGGUGUAGCUGAGGUUGCGGCGGAUGCUCCGCUUGAAAAAGCUUUUGCAGCCCUCGCAGAGGAGCUGUCAUUAUUGACGUUUUACAGAAGCCACAGGCUUUGCUCAAGUUCAUUCGGUGGUAAGUGGACAAGCCACGCCAGAACUUAGCCUUCUGCUUCUCUGUCUGGCCUGGACGUUCAAGAUUGCAGCAGCGCCUUUUUGGUCAUGGUUGAAUCAAAAAAUAAUUUUUGAGAAACUUUGCAAUGAUCAGGCCACAUAAGCCACCGAAUAUGACGCAUCUCCUGCAUUUUUAUGUUCAGCUCAACAGUGUCAUGAUCCAAAGUGUCUUGGAUCUUUUUUUUUUUUUUUGAGACGGAGUCUUGCUCUUGUCACCCAGGCUGGAGUGCAAUGGCACGAUCUCGGCUCACUGCAACCUUUGCCUCCCGAGUUCAAGUGAUUCUCCUGCCUCAGCCUCCCGAGUAGCUGGGAUUGCAGGUGCCCGCCACAUUUUUUUAUUUUUAGUAGAGACAGGGUUUUGCCACGUUGGCCAGGCUGGUCUCGAACUCCUGACCUCGUGAUCCACCUGCCUCGGCUUCCCAAAGUGCUGGGAUUACAGGAGUGAGCCACCGCGCCCGGCCCCGAAGUGUCUUGGAUCUUAAUGAGGUUUAGUUAAUCUAUGACUGCAUCAUCAUGAAAAUUUCCACAAUGUCCACCAGGCUCUGUCAUUGAAUCUUCCAGCAGCAGAGCCCACAGGUCUCCUUGGCUUCCUGAUACCUUCGUGGGCAAGGCGCCCCUGUGUUCAGAAGGAAGAGGAAAGUGACAAAUUCCAAAAAGAGCCAGAGGGAAGGGUAUUCUUGGGAUCCCAUAGCUGGCACAGGGCUCCAUGUGGAUGGACACUCUGAGCUUGGGGACUGCAAGCUCCCAGGUGACGCAUUACACAUUAGGAGUGGCAUUUCCUGUGCCCACCUGGUCAUUCUGUGCAAGCUGGGGCACCUACUCAAGGCACGUGUGUGAGACUGUGUGUGUGUGACUGUGUGUGAAUGUGCCUGUGUGUGUGUGAAUCUGUGAGUGUAUUUCAGUUGUAUAUGUAAGUGCAUUGUGUGAAUUUGAGUGUUUCAAUGUGUGUGAAUGUGUAUGUGUGUGAAUGUGUGUUUGUGUGUAUCAGUGUGUGUGAAUUUGUGUUUGUGUGUGAAUGUGAGUUUGUGAAUGUGUGGGUGAGAGUGCCUGUGUGUUUGUGUGUGUAUAUGUGAGUGUAUGAACGUGUGUUUGUGUGUGUAUGUGAGUGUGUGAAUGUGUUUGUGUAUGUGAGUGUGUGUAUGUGAAUGUGUGUGGGUGUGUGAAUGCGUGUGUGUAUGUGUGUGUUUGUGUGUAUGUGAGUGUGUUUGUGAAUGUGUGUGGGUGUGUGAAUGUCUGAGUGUGUGAGUGUAUGUGCAUGAAUGUGUGUUUGUGUGUUUGUGAAUGUUUGUGUGUGUUUGUGUAUGAGUGUGUUUGUGAAAGUGUGUGAGUGUGAAUGUGAGUGUGUGUGUGAGUGUGCACGAACGUGUGUUUGUGAAUAUGUGUGUAUGUGAGUGUGUGUGAAUGUGUGUGGGUGUGUGAAUGUGUGUGCAUGUGAGUGUGUGUGAGUGUGUGUUUGUGAAUGUGUGAAUGUGUGUGUAUGCGAGUGUGAAUGUGUGUGGGUGAGUGUGUGUGUUUGUGAAUUGUGUGUGUGUGUGAGUGUGUAUGUGAGUGUGUGAAUGUGUGUGGGUGUGUGAGUGUGUGAGUGUAUGUGAGUGUGUGUUUGUGAGUGUGUGGGUGAGUGUGUGUAUGUGAGUGUGAGCGUGUGUGUGUUUAGAGUCUGCACUCUGUGUGGAUCAGGAAAGGGGUCCUUGCAGGCUCGCUGAGUCCCUGCUCUGUGCCCAGCCCCGAC